GUCAGCAUGGCAUAGUGGUUUGAGCAUUUGACUAUGACUGUGGAGACCAGGGUUCGAAUCUCCAUUUGGCCA